CUUACACUCGCAUGCUCAUUUCUAGGGAAAGGAGUAAUUUUGGGCGCUCUACCAAUUUGACAGCAGUGUUUAAUUUGUCCUGGGUUUUACAACACAGUUGGUAACACGAUCAGCUGUCAGACCUCUUGCAGCAGAGCUGCACAGAGCUACCAGCUCAUCUGAGGAGCAUCUUUGUUGAGCAUCUGCAACAUCUGGAUGACAGCCUUUGCUCAGCACCUUCUGGACAUGGCAGAGAAAGGCUGUUUUGGAGAGGAGCUGGUUCGAGCUCAGAGAGUCAACAGUGGUUCUUCAUCUGCCUCUUUCCACCAGCAGCUCAGGGCAGGAGG